GGGUUGGGACACUUGGGUCGUGUGUUUUGGGAUUAUCACCAUCCACAGUCAGUCUGGGGCUGGGGUUGGGUGGCUGGGACACCUGGGUCGUGUAUUUUGGGGGUGCCUGAGUUCCUUGUUUUGGGGUGAUCACCAUCUGUGGUCUGUCUGGGGGGCUGGAACACCUGGGUCAUGUGUUUUGGGGGUGCCUGAGUCCCUUGUUUUGGGGUGAUCACCAUCCACAGUCAGUCUGGAGCUGGGGUUGGGGGGCUGGGACACCUGGGUUGUGUGUUUUGGGGGUGCCUGAGUCCCUUGUUUUGGGGUGAACUUGGGGUUCUGUAACAAUGGAACUCCUAUUUUGGCUUGCCAGUUUGUUUGGGGUUUCAGGAUACCCGAGUCCUGCAUUCUGGGGCACCGAGACACCUGGCUCCCAGUUUUGGGACACUNNNNNNNNNNNNNNNNNNNNNNNNNNNNNNNNNNNNNNNNNNNNNNNNNNNNCCCCUCCCUGGGUUAAUUUUGGGAUCCCUCCCCCUCCAAUUUUGGGGUAUCACCUUGCUCUCCCCACCUGUCCCACAGAACAGCGUGCUCUCCACCGGCACCACGCGCAGCCGCAACUCCCCGCUGCUCGACCGCGCCAGCCUGGGUCCCAACUCACUGCAAAACGGCAAGGACAGCGCGGCUCCAACGCGGGUUCCCGUGGCUUCGCCCUCCGCACACAACAUCAGCCAGGGGUUGUGCGAGCGGCCCAGUUUCCCACGCGGCGUUUCCAGCCGCAGCACCUUCCACGCCGGGCAGCUGAGGCAGGCCCGGGACCAGGCCCCCCUGCCCUACGCCGUGCCCCCCGCCUCCCCCUCGGGUGCCAGCCAGGGCCGCCGCGGGCCAUCAGCCAGCCUCUUCAGCAAGUUCACCUCCAAGUUCGUGCGCAGGUGAGCGCCUGGCUCCUCCUCUUCCUUCCAUCUCUUCCUUCUGUGUUCCCCCCCCCGUCGGCUCCGUUCCGGGGUCCAUCUGUGGCUCCUCCGUGUUCCCUACGUCCCCUCUGUGUUCUCCCUCUGUCCCCACCCCGGGGUUCCCCACAUCCCCUCUGUUCCCCUUCAUCCUCACUCCAAGGCUGCCUGUGGUGCCUCUGUGCUCCUCUUGUCUUCAUCCCCCAUUUGUGCCACCGCUGUCCCCACCCAGGGUCCCCCUUUGUCCCCUCUGUGUCCCCCACAUCCCCUCUGUGCCCCUUCAUCCCCACUCCAAGGCUGCCUGUGGUGCCUCUGUGCUCCUCUGGUCAUCAUCCCCCCAUUUAUGCCACCGCUGUCCCCACCCCAGGGUCCCCCUUUGUCCUUUCCAUGUCCCCUUUGUCCCCAUUCUACUCCUGUGUCCCCCUGUUGCUCCUCCUUCUCCCUACUGUUCUGUGUUCCCUCCCCAUGUCUCCCCCCUUGUUUCCUUCUCUUCUGUGUUCCCUUGGGACUCUCCACGUACCCCUGUGUCCUCUCCUCUUGUCCCGUGUCCCCUUCCUUCAUCCUAUGUCCCUCACUGUCCUCACAGNNNNNCCCCCCUUCAGCUCGUGUUCCCUCUGUGUCCCCCAUUGUCCCCUCCCUGUGCUGAUCCCCCAUUAUCCCCUCCCUGUGCUGAUCCCACCUCCUUCUGGGAGACUCGGGGGCAGUCUGGGGGGGGGGGAGAGGUGGGGUGACCCCAUUGCGGGGAGGGGGUGGCUCCCCCAGCCCCCCAGCGCCGCCCCCCAACGCCACCUUCUUUCUGUUUGUCUUUGUAGAAAUCUGUCUUUCAGGUUUGCCAGAAGGUAGGCGCCUCCUCCCCACCCCCUCCCAGCCCCCCCUCAGCCCUGCAUGUCCCCGUGUCCCCCUGUCCCUGUCCUGUCUGUC
ensembl:lncRNA